CGCUAGUAAUCGCGAAUCAGAAUGUCGCGGUGAAUACGUUCCCGGGUCUUGUACACACCGCCCGUCACACCAUGGGAGUCGGAAAUGCCCGAAGUCAGUGACCCAACCGCAAGGAGGGAGCUGCCGAAGGCAGGUCCGGUAACUGGGGUGAAGUCGUAACAAGGUAUC
rnacentral:rRNA from 1 species